AGAAAAGAAAACGAGUCAAGUUUUCAAACGCAACAGGGGCUAAAAAAAGAAAAAUUGAGCCGGAAACUAUAGAUAUCAGUGACGAUGAUGACAAACAAACAACCACAAGGAAAGUGUCAUUAACCACACCUGAGUAAACAGUUCAAACCAGGGCAGCUGUGCUGGCAAGACCUAAUUUCAGUCCGAUACAUUGCUCAGAAAAAGAGAUAGAAAACUUUUUUUGGGAACUUGACGGCGGUGGCUACAUCACAGCACUUUUGGCAGCAUGUCCCGUCAAAAGUCCGGCAAAUUUUGGAAGAAAAGUUUCUAUGAAACAAUCCUUGGCUGCAUCGCAGCACGUAGUCAUGGCCGGGCGAUUCAGUUCAGCAGUGAUAAAGAGAAUAAACAAACUUUUCAAUCGCUGGUACUUCAAGAACGAGGCAGCAAAGAACACGGACCGUGAUGAUGUUUUGGAGCUUUUCGGAGUACCAAGUGAUUGGAGGUUUUCAGCCAAAGCACAUCAUGCAGCUUGUCAUAUCCUUUGCAGAUGGUAUCUAGGAACAUGGAUUACGACUGAAUUAAAUACCAAAGUAGAAAGAUUUUUAAAUGAG